rnacentral:pre_miRNA from 1 species
GGUUUCAACUGAAAAGGUCAUCAACAACAAAGUUGUAUAACUCAUCAAUAUCUAUAACUUUUAUUUUGGUAAUUUCUUCAUCCGAUGAAGUGAUAGUAAUAUUAUUCACAAAAUUUACAUAUCUCUUACAUGGUUUUAUAAACUAUAAGAGAUAUAUACAAAUUUUGUGAACAAUAUUACUGUCAUUUUAUCGGAUGAAGAAAUGACCAAAAUAAAAGUUAUAGAUAUUGAUGAGUUAUACAACUUUGUUGUUGAUAACUUUUUCAGUUGAAAUC